AUACCCUAUUAUUUUUAAUGUGAAAAGUAAGCUAGAGUAUUAAUAGAUAUGAUCUUAAAACUUAAAAAAUUUGGCGGUAUUAUAGUCUAUUUAGAGGAAUCUGUUAUAUAAUCGAUAGUCCACGUUGAACCUUACUUAUAUUAAUUCUUAUAUAUCGCUGUUUAUGAAUAUAUUUUUAGAUAAAAUUUUCGGGAAAUAAAAAUAAUUAAAAUUUCAAGUCAAGGUGUAGUAAUAUAUAAAGUUAAAUAAUGGGUUACAAUAAAUUUAAUUUAUUAUGAAUUAUUAUUGAAAUAUGAUUUGAAGGUGAAUUUAAUUGUAAUUUUUUAAAGAUUAUUAAAAUGAUUAAUAGCUCUAUAAUAUGUACACAUCGCCC
rnacentral:rRNA from 1 species